CCCAGUAACGGCGAGUGAAUNCGGCAACAGCUCAAAUUUGAAAUCUGGCCCCAGGCCCGAGUUGUAAUUUGCAGAGGAUGCUUUUGGCGCGGUGCCUUCCGAGUUCCCUGGAACGGGACGCCAUAGAGGGUGAGAGCCCCGUACGGUUGGACACCAAGCCUUUGUAAAGCUCCUUCGACGAGUCGAGUAGUUUGGGAAUGCUGCUCAAAAUGGGAGGUAUAUUUCUUCUAAAGCUAAAUAUUGGCCAGAGACCGAUAGCGCACAAGUAGAGUGAUCGAAAGAUGAAAAGCACUUUGAAAAGAGGGUUAAACAGCACGUGAAAUUGUUGAAAGGGAAGCGCUUGUGACCAGACUUGCGCCCGGUGAAUCACCCAGCUCUCGCGGCUGGGGCACUUUGCCGGCACAGGCCAGCAUCAGCUUGCCGUCGGGGACAAAAGCUUCGGGAACGUAGCUCUCUUCGGGGAGUGUUAUAGCCCGUUGCAUAAUACCCUUCGGCGGGCUGAGGUACGCGCUCCGCAAGGAUGCUGGCGUAAUGGUCAUCAGCGACCCGUCUUGAAACAC
rnacentral:rRNA from 1 species